rnacentral:rRNA from 1 species
UACGUAGGGUGCAAGCGUUGUCCGGAAUUACUGGGCGUAAAGAGCUCGUAGGCGGUUUGUCACGUCGUCUGUGAAAUCCUCCAGCUCAACUGGGGGCGUGCAGGCGAUACGGGCAGACUUGAGUACUACAGGGGAGACUGGAAUUCCUGGUGUAGCGGUGAAAUGCGCAGAUAUCAGGAGGAACACCGGUGGCGAAGGCGGGUCUCUGGGUAGUAACUGACGCUGAGGAGCGAAAGCAUGGGGAGCAAACAGGAUUAGAUACCCGCGUAGUCC